rnacentral:rRNA from 1 species
ACGGCCCACCAAGCCUUCGAUGGAUAGGGGUUCUGAGAGGAAGGUCCCCCACAUUGGAACUGAGCACGGUCCAAACUCCUACGGGAGGCAGCAUG